UACGUAGGGUGCGAGCGUUGUCCGGAAUUAUUGGGCGUAAAGAGCUCGUAGGCGGUGUGUCGCGUCGGCCGUGAAAACCUGCAGCUUAACUGUGGGCUUGCGGUCGAUACGGGCAUCACUGGAGUUCGGCAGGGGAGAGUGGAAUUCCCGGUGUAGCGGUGAAAUGCGCAGAUAUCGGGAAGAACACCCGUGGCUAAGGCGGCUCUCUAGUACGGUACUGACGCUGAGACGCGAAAGCGUGGGGAGCGAACAGG
rnacentral:rRNA from 1 species